rnacentral:lncRNA from 1 species
UGCAGGGAAUGGUGCUGGACUUCAAACGCAGCUUUGCAUAGGGAGAUUGUUUUCUAUGUACGAAAGUUGUAGAAAAAGUUUUUGUUUGUUUUUGACAAGCUUGAAGGGCUGCACUAAAUAGCUCUGGAGUAAGUGCAGAUGAAGUGGGACAUGAAAAGUACAACUUAUUACCGAAUUGCACAGAUCACCCCGGGCAACCGUUAUUCCUUUUAACAUUGGGGACGAGAGAAAGAGAAGCAGCCGACCACCUCCACGCAGGCRACAUCCCCGUGCAGCGGUAACCUCUGCUGUGCAGCGAGCUGAACCAGUCGCAUGGUGAAAAAUGGCCGGAGCGAAGCCAAGGACACGGUCCUUUGUGCUGCAUAAAGGACUUGUGUCCAACCGUAGGUUUGCUUAUAACUGUUAUAAAGCAUGUAUAUACACAUGCAACAAAAAUUACAAGCAACAUCACUCUCCACCUCCAUAUAUGACCAUUUGGGCCAGUAUGCAAGAACCCUGAAAGUACCGAUCUGAGACAACGUGGAGAAAUACUGACAUCCUUUAAGCUGGUUGAUUACUGUCAGACAGCAAAAGUAAGGUAGACCCUAAUUAAAUACAGACUCAUUUACUAUAAAGGGGAACUGGAGCAUGGGAGACUGCACAGCCCAUGUGACAAAACAGCCAACACUGGAUAGAAAAGCUCUUUCUGUUCCAGCAUGAAUAGUAUAAGACAGCUUUAGGAAGAUAUUUGCUUAAAUUACCAGAAAUGAUAAAAGACUCUCCAUUAAAAAACGAUGAGGAAAAACUGUGCAUAACCCUAGGAGAAAGGAAAGAGACGGCAGGAAUAGCAUCAUGCUAUGUAACAACCUGCCACCAGCUUAGAAAUGGACAAUAAUGACAAAUGGACACAAGGGAUAAAACCCCAAACACACUGUGAAGUGUUGUCUUGGGCAAACGCUUGAUAUAUUGUAUCUAUCGCUGACAGUUACCCAGGGCUUCUGCUUUUUCASACAUUGACAGCAUUUGUACAGCCUGGCACGCC